rnacentral:rRNA from 1 species
AUGCAUGGUAGAAAUGGAGCAAGGUAUGGCAUCAUGGGCGUCGAUAUAGCUGAUGCAUAUAAGAAUGACCCUAUGUUGAAAGGGAUAACAUGCCUUCCCCUAAGUGCGACAGUGGAGGUGACUUUCCUGCGCCUUGUGGAGUACUUUAAAAACACAAGUGCUGCAGCAAACAAAGCAAUCGGCAACCCAUCAAUUAACUUGCCUGAACGUGUCCAGGAUAGCAUGAACAUCGAAAUGCAGAAAUCCGAGAUGCAUCAAUUGAUGUACACAUACUCUGAUGAUAGAAAUGUUCUUGGGGGUGAAGUGGACCUGAAAUUCACGGUUAAAGCGAGGAAGAGACAGGUGACCGUUCACCUGAAGUCAGAACAUACCUUCAGCAUAGACGAGUCUAAAGGGACCGCGGUUCGAAAAACUAUGACUUGUUCAUGCAACAAGCCACAACUGCUUCACAAACCCUGCUCCCAUUUCAUUACGGUCUGUCGCCAGAUCGGGGUUAACACCGUUGAAUACAUGUCCCCAUACUACAGCCUGCCCUGUCUUGUUAGCACCUGGAGGCAAAAAUUCAAUACGGUCUCACAUGACUACAGAUAUAUUAUGCCAUCUGAGUGUGAAACACCAACUUUGAUCCCAGACAAAAGACUGGAGUGUGGUCUUCCAGUUUGUGUGCUGACGGACUGCGUAUAA